rnacentral:rRNA from 1 species
AUCUAAGAGAUUAGACGUUCCCUUCGGGGACAUGGAUACAGGUGGUGCAUGGUUGUCGUCAGCUCGUGUCGUGAGAUGUUGGGUUAAGUCCCGCAACGAGCGCAACCCUUAUUAUCAGUUGCCAGCAUUAAGUUGGACACUCUGGUGAGACUGCCGGUGACAAACCGGAGGAAGGUGGGGAUGACGUCAAAUCAUCAUGCCCCUUAUGACCUGGGCUACACACGUGCUACAAUGGAUGGUACAACGAGUUGCGAACUCGCGAGAGUAAGCUAAUCUCUUAAAGCCAUUCUCAGUUCGGAUUGUAGGCUGCAACUCGCCUACAUGAAGUGGGAAUCGCUAGUAAUCGCGGAUCAGCAUGCCGCGGUGAAUACGUUCCCGGGUCUUGUACACACCGA